rnacentral:rRNA from 1 species
ACGGAGGGUGCGAGCGUUAAUCGGAAUUACUGGGCGUAAAGGGUGCGUAGGUGGUUUAAUAAGUUAUCUGUGAAAUACCUGGGCUUAACCUGGGCCUGUCAGAUAAUACUGUUGAACUCGAGUAUGGGAGAGGGUAGUGGAAUUUCCGGUGUAGCGGUGAAAUGCGUAGAGAUCGGAAGGAACACCAGUGGCGAAGGCGGCUACCUGGCUUAAUACUGACACUGAGGCACGAAAGCGUGGGGAGCAAACAGGAUUAGAUACCCUGGUAGUCCACGCUGUAAACGAUGUCAACUAGCUGUUGGUUAUUUUAGAAUGAUUAGUGGCGCAGCAAACGCGAUAAGUUGACCGCCUGGGGAGUACGGUCGCAAGAUUA